CUUGUUUCUUUUAAUUUUAACAAUCUUACAGCUGAAGCUGUCUAAGAUUUAUUCAGGAGAAUAUAUUUUAUAACACCUCCUUUUUCCUGUAAACAUUGAAGGAAGGUUCGUGAUAUGGACCCUUGGCUGAAAUUUGAAGGUGAAAAAGGACUGCUCCGUUACCAUUUAUGGUGUGGGAAUGACUUUCCUUCACCACUAGCCUGGGUGAAAUUUAAUGACUGACCAAGAGGGAAGUAAUUCAUUCUUCCUGUCAUCCUAUUUUAUUCCCCUGCCCCCUUACCUUGUGCUCUCUUUUCCUCCUCAGUUCCUAUUAUGAUCUUUCUUUGUCAAGGAUGUUUCUCAUGAUUAAGUGCUUAUAUCUUCUUCUCCCCAGCAUAUUUGUUUGGAUAGAUUUAGGACAGAUAAAAAUGCUGAAAAUUGCCUGGUUUCUGUUUUCUCUAGAGAGAAAACCCUGAAAGAUUUUUAGCUAAUGGCAUUAGACCAGUUUCGAUCACUGUAAGAUUCUCUGGCUUUAGUUCUAUAACCCUCCAGAAGUCUAGAUCUUCUUGAUAUUAAAGAAAACAUGCACACUUUGAGUGAGCUACUGAGUUCCAUCUAAUUGUUUCCAUUUUACAGAGACUAAGGACAGGGGACCACUGGGAAGGCACAUAAGGAAACAAAAGGGACUUUGACCCAGAGACUGGACCCUGAGUCUAUAUGAAAUAGGAGGUGGGGCCAAAGUUAAUGGAGAACCUGGACUAACAGCCUCACCACCUUGGAUCACUUUCAGUAACCACGAGGCCUACCUGGAAGUGCA
rnacentral:lncRNA from 1 species